AAGACAAGACAGUGGCAGCAUUGUAGCCAAUGACGUUAAUCUGAGGCAUGAUUAAUGGUAAUUUAAAACUUUUCUCAAUAUUCUGCCUUAAUGACUUGAAACAUAGUAGGCAUUGGUAAUUUUUGGUUGUGUAUUUUAUUGGACUAUA
ensembl:snRNA U4 U4 spliceosomal RNA